rnacentral:rRNA from 1 species
GAUGAACGCUAGCGGCAGGCUUAACACAUGCAAGUCGAGGGGUAACAGGGAGGAGCUUGCUUUUCCGCUGACGACCGGCGCACGGGUGCGUAACGCGUAUAGAACCUACCUUUUACAGGGGAAUAGCCCAGAGAAAUUUGGAUUAAUGCCCCAUAGUAUUAUUGAAUGGCAUCAUUUAAUAAUUAAACAUUUAUGGGUAAAAGAUGGCUAUGCGUUCUAUUAGCUAGAUGGUAAGGUAACGGCUUACCAUGGCAACGAUAGAUAGGGGUCCUGAGAGGGAGAUCCCCCACACUGGUACUGAGACACGGACCAGACUCCUACGGGAGGCAGCAGUGAGGAAUAUUGGACAAUGGAGGCAACUCUGAUCCAGCCAUGCCGCGUGCAGGAAGACGGUCCUAUGGAUUGUAAACUGCUUUUAUAUAGGAAGAAACCUUUCCACGUGUGGAAAGCUGACGGUACUAUAAGAAUAAGCACCGGCUAACUCCGUGCCAGCAGCCGCGGUAAUACGGAGGGUGCAAGCGUUAUCCGGAAUCAUUGGGUUUAAAGGGUCCGUAGGCGGACUAAUAAGUCAGGGGUGAAAUCCAACAGCUUAACUGUUGAACUGCCUUUGAUACUGUUAGUCUUGAGUUAUAUGGAAGUAGAUAGAAUAUGUAGUGUAGCGG